GUCUCAGAGAUACUUCCAUUAAAACAAGGAUUGAAAC
rfam:Nitrospirae bacterium CG2_30_41_42 cg2_3.0_scaffold_2005_c, whole genome shotgun sequence.